AUGUAUCCACGUACGGUCCGGUUCUUCCGCGCCGCCCGCACCCACCUGACAACUGCCCGCUACGUACCGUUAGCC
rfam:Xanthomonas campestris pv. campestris str. ATCC 33913, complete genome.